ensembl:lncRNA
AUGUGUUUGUGUAUUUGGGGCCGUUUGUUACCUUGUGAGCAGUGGAGCAGUGAUGGACUCAGCUGGUAUACGGGUCAUUCUGGCCAAGGUGAGACGUGGCGCUGUAUACUUGAACUUCAAAGGCAUUGUGCUGGUCCAACUCCGCGGGGCGUCUCCUUCAUGACUUCAGUCAACUUCCACACACACACAUACACCUUUAAUCUGAGCUCUGCAAUACCUACUCAACCCCGAUUGAGUCAAUACGCCCUCUUUUUGUUCUGUGAUAGAGGGAUGUGGAAAUGAAAGUGUAUGAUGCAAAAGCAGUGCAGAAGAGUGGAAACACACUUGUUUAGUUAGAUUAACUCUGAGAUCAGGAGCCCAGUCUGAGACAGUUUAGAAUCGCAAGGAACAUGUACUUGGAGGAUUUUUUUGUUUCUUUUUAAGUUGUUUAUAAUGUCAAGUAUAUCUCAUGCAAAGGCAUGGACUUUUAGAAGGAAAACUUUGCAAUGCUUUGAUUUUCUUUUCUCAGUGACAUGCAUAAUGCUUUCAUCUUUUGGUAGAGUAAACAAGUCAUCAAAGUAAAAGGCUGAAUAUCUUAUAAAACAUUUCUUAGGUAUCUAAGCAUACAAUUUUUUUCUCUCUAUCUCUCUCUCUCUAUCUCUCUCUAUCUCUCUCUUUUUUAUUUUUUAAAAUCAACAAAGUAACAAAUCCUUGCAACAACAACAAACUAUUUCUGCAGUGACUCAAUCCAUCCAUAUCCAAAAAUGAGUGCAUGUCCUUAUUGAAACUUAGGAGACAAUCUGUACUGUAGGCAAAAGUGGUCCAAAUAAUUUUUGUCCUCUUAUAUGAACAGCACAAACCAUGUGGAAUGUGAUCUUUUCAAUUCUAAUUUGGGCCGCUUCUAUUUGUGGUAUUAAAUCAGGUACAGCACCAAUGUUUUGCAAUGCGACCUUCAUCAGUCAUAUCAGAAUUCUUGCAACGUUUCAGGACACUCUAGAAUGACAGUUGUCACGCCACAGUUUGGUCACUCUGUUAAUUUGGAAUAAGAAAGCUUUGUGUUAGAACUGUUUAGUGUUUUAGUGACAGCUUUACGCAAGCAAAACCAAUGGGAAAUCUAUAAGAGAAAAAACAUUGCUUUCUUUCUCUUCAUCCUUGUCUUUAUCCUUAUUUACUGGGCACAAAUUCAGUGGCCUCCAAAUUUAACUACUUUCACCUGGAUGUUACUUUUUUUUUUUUUUUUGUCAUGUCCCACUAACAUUUACAAUGAGAUAUUGACAAUUUAAAUUAAUAUUCCAGGUGUUUCUUCAUGUUUUAGUCCCCCUAAAUUGAAAUGUUUGCAAAAGACAUCUUAAGCACAAGUAAUUGAAUUCCUUUAAUUGGUAAUAAUUACUGUUAUUAUAUAUAUUUUUUCUUGUGUCCUCAAUUUAACCUUUCAUUUAAUUAAUUUGCAAUAUCAGUGAAACAUCAGUGAGUAUUAGCCAAAGAUUUUAUGAGUUUCGGGAUGAUUUGUGGUUACAUUCCAUCUUCUUAUUCUUCCAUCCUCUCCAUUAUUUUUUCUUGCUAUAGAAACCUUUAUAUAGUUCGUAAAGUUUAAAUGCUUGAGGAAAGACUAUGUUAGAACACAAUCAAAUUCUCUUCUCUUCUCUUCUCUUCUCUUCUCUUCUCUUCUCUUCUCUUCUCUUCUCUUCUCUUCUCUUCUCUUCUCUUCUCUUCUCUUCUCUUCUCUUCUCUUCUCUUCUCUUUUUUCAUUUGUAGAGUUCA